UUACGGGAGGCAGCAGUGAGGAAUAUUGCACAAUGGGCGCAAGCCUGAUGCAGCAACGCCGCGUGCGGGACGAAGGCCUUCGGGUCGUAAACCGCUUUUCUGAGGGACGAGACAGGACGGUACCUCAGGAAUAAGUCUCGGCUAACUACGUGCCAGCAGCCGCGGUAAAACGUAGGAGGCGAGCGUUAUCCGGAUUUACUGGGCGUAAAGCGCGCGCAGGCGGCUUCGUGAGUCGGACGUGAAAGCUCCUGGCUUAACUGGGAGAGGUCGUUCGAUACUGCGAGGCUUGAGGUUGGGAGAGGGGUGCGGAAUUCCCGGUGUAGUGGUGGAAUGCGUAGAUAUCGGGAGGAACACCAGUGGCGAAGGCGGCACCCUGGCCCACACCUGACGCUGAGGUGCGAAAGCGUGGGUAGCAAACAGGAUUAGAUACCCUAGUAGUCCA
rnacentral:rRNA from 1 species